GAUGAACGCUGGCGGCGUGCCUAAUACAUGCAAGUCGAGCGAACGGACGAGAAGCUUGCUUCUCUGAUGUUAGCGGCGGACGGGUGAGUAACACGUGGAUAACCUACCUAUAAGACUGGGAUAACUUCGGGAAACCGGAGCUAAUACCGGAUAAUAUUUUGAACCGCAUGGUUCAAAAGUGAAAGACGGUCUUGCUGUCACUUAUAGAUGGAUCCGCGCUGCAUUAGCUAGUUGGUAAGGUAACGGCUUACCAAGGCAACGAUGCAUAGCCGACCUGAGAGGGUGAUCGGCCACACUGGAACUGAGACACGGUCCAGACUCCUACGGGAGGCAGCAGUAGGGAAUCUUCCGCAAUGGGCGAAAGCCUGACGGAGCAACGCCGCGUGAGUGAUGAAGGUCUUCGGAUCGUAAAACUCUGUUAUUAGGGAAGAACAUAUGUGUAAGUAACUGUGCACAUCUUGACGGUACCUAAUCAGAAAGCCACGGCUAACUACGUGCCAGCAGCCGCGGUAAUACGUAGGUGGCAAGCGUUAUCCGGAAUUAUUGGGCGUAAAGCGCGCGUAGGCGGUUUUUUAAGUCUGAUGUGAAAGCCCACGGCUCAACCGUGGAGGGUCAUUGGAAACUGGAAAACUUGAGUGCAGAAGAGGAAAGUGGAAUUCCAUGUGUAGCGGUGAAAUGCGCAGAGAUAUGGAGGAACACCAGUGGCGAAGGCGACUUUCUGGUCUGUAACUGACGCUGAUGUGCGAAAGCGUGGGGAUCAAACAGGAUUAGAUACCCUGGUAGUCCACGCCGUAAACGAUGAGUGCUAAGUGUUAGGGGGUUUCCGCCCCUUAGUGCUGCAGCUAACGCAUUAAGCACUCCGCCUGGGGAGUACGACCGCAAGGUUGAAACUCAAAGGAAUUGACGGGGAUCCGCACAAGCGGUGGAGCAUGUGGUUUAAUUCGAAGCAACGCGAAGAACCUUACCAAAUCUUGACAUCCUUUGACAACUCUAGAGAUAGAGCUUUCCCCUUCGGGGGACAAAGUGACAGGUGGUGCAUGGUUGUCGUCAGCUCGUGUCGUGAGAUGUUGGGUUAAGUCCCGCAACGAGCGCAACCCUUAAGCUUAGUUGCCAUCAUUAAGUUGGGCACUCUAAGUUGACUGCCGGUGACAAACCGGAGGAAGGUGGGGAUGACGUCAAAUCAUCAUGCCCCUUAUGAUUUGGGCUACACACGUGCUACAAUGGACAAUACAAAGGGCAGCGAAACCGCGAGGUCAGGCAAAUCCCAUAAAGUUGUUCUCAGUUCGGAUUGUAGUCUGCAACUCGACUACAUGAAGCUGGAAUCGCUAGUAAUCGUAGAUCAGCAUGCUACGGUGAAUACGUUCCCGGGUCU
rnacentral:rRNA from 1 species